GGAAAGUUAUGUGAAUACAAUGAUUUAUUUUAAGUAAAGGGUAGUUUUAUAAAAUAAAGUGCCAAACAUCAUAUAAAUAAAUAUUUACAGGCUCAGUAUCAAUCAAAUCAGUGGUAAGAGUGAAUUUUUUCAAUGUAUGACUUUCAUAUCAAAUUUUUUUUUGGUGAUUCAGCUUAAUAGGAGUUUAUGGUAUGGGCCCAUUCACGUUAUAUCCAAAUAAACAAAAAUUAUCUAGAGUUGUUCAUGCCAUCAUUUCCUUCAGCACAGUCUUCAAAGUAGUUUUCUCAUUACCCACUUUGAAAGAUAUUUCCAAGGAGAGGAUAAUGCAACCCAUUCUAUAUGUGAAUAAUGGGUGGGACACAGGCCAAUAAUCAUGAUCCAAAUUAGUCUGAAAAUCAAAGGAGUAAGGGGAGAAAAAAAGAAUGAAGGAUUAAUUGAUUUGCUGAGAGCAUGUCACAUGCUAAUUGUUGUUUUACAUUUUUCAUCUAUGUCUCUCAUGUGAUUCAGACCACAAAUCUGUGUGAUAAGUAUUGUUAUCCUUAUUCUACCAAUGACGACACAGUAGUGAAGUCAUAAUUCAGACUUGAAAUUCUGUCUUCUCUCAAUUUUCAUCCCAAAAUUAGAUAUCCUCGAUGCCAGUUCGGAUUCUCUUAUUCAAUGAGAAAAUCACUUCCUUUUCGGCCCUUGUCAUCUUUGUCUGUAUAACAAGGGGAUAAGACAAAGACGUUUGAUGAAAAUUUCUUCAAGUUGUAUCAUGUUUUUAUUCUUAGUGGGUAGUCCUUUGUAAGUCUGCAUACGGCUGGCUGGUGACACAAUGUGGGCACCAUAGACCGAAAAAUAAAAUUACUGAAAAGGCGAAGUAUACUUUCCAAAAAUUAGACUCUAAUCAAUGUAGUCCGUGCAACAAUUUUCUUUAAUACCGAAUUGCAUUUUAUAUAGCUAUUUGCACAGAUCUUCACAAUAAAACCAUAAGAAAAGGAGAAUAGGAUAUUAUCUUCACAGUUCUACAGAGGAGUAAAAAAACUGACCUUGAUCUAAAUAAGUUUAGAGGUGGAUUUUAAUCCUUUAAUAAGCAAAAGACAUAUAAUAAAAUUGAUAAAUGACAAUAUCAAUACUUUAUCUAAAAGUAAUUUCAUAAAGAAACAAAGCCAAAAUUGAUUCAGUUAACAUAAAAAAGAGUUAACCCAGAAGAAAACAAUGAAUAUUGAUCUCGAUUUCAGCAAGCAGAAAAUAAAAAAAAAAAAAAAGCAGAAAAAAGUGAGAAAUUGUUAAGGUGAGUGAAAGAUGAGCGGCGGUUGCUCUGAGAAACUACAACACAACUUAUUUAUUCAAGUGGCUGGGUCAGAUUUAAAGAUGUGAUUUCAAUAACUUUUUUGAAUAGAGUGUUGUACCUUUGUCUAAAGUAGUAAAAUUCAUUUGAAUUAAAGCUGAAUAUGGGUUUUCCUCCUCAAAUCCAAUUCAAUUCCAAGGUUUGAAAUUGCAGGGGCUCCUGAGAAGAAAUGGCAAAAAUAAAAAAGAGAAAGAGAGAGAAAGGGGAAGAGAAAAGGAAAAAAGAAAAAUCUAUAACUUGAAGCCCUGUAAAGCAAAGAUUUACCAAACUUUAGAUUUUAUACCCCCUCUUUUUUCAGCAUAUCCAAAUAAAUUUACAUGAUCUUAUGAGUGUAAAUCUUCUAGUCUUCAUGAGAUUUUUCCAGCUUUUCUGCCUUUUAGAUUGACAUUUCUAGUUGCUUAAGGUUUCUUCUUCAAAGCAAUGGGUAUAAAACAUGUGAUUAUUAUUAAACAGUUAUGGAAAAUACCAUCUUUAUUCCACCACUUUAUCAGGUAGAACUUGAAGGUAAAAUAAAGUUUGGAUGCUGAGUCUACAUGUAUUGUAUUGUAUUGUAUUGUAUUGUAUUGUAUUGUAUUGUAUUGUAUUGUAUUGUAUUGUAUAGUGGUUACCAGAGAUUUAAUAACAUAGCAGAAGUAACUGAAUCGCCUCCUCUGCCCUAUGCACUUGUAUUUUUUUUAUUUCAAAAAUGCCAGGAAGAUAAGUGUAUGCAAAAAUAUAAAGUUUGUAAAAUUUUAUACAACUUAAUCUAUUUGAUCAUUAGUUAAGUAAGCUUAACUAAAUUAAAAAUGUAUUUUAUUGCUACUUUUUUUAACUCUCUAAAGAAUACAUUUAUGUUUUUGAAGGA
rnacentral:lncRNA from 1 species